rnacentral:pre_miRNA from 1 species
UGUAGGGCAAUCUGUCUUUAAGAAGGGGUAAAUUACUAUCAGAGAAAUGAAGCCUGGAUAGUUUUCCCUUCAAGGCAAGUGUCUGG